rnacentral:rRNA from 1 species
GACGAACUGUGCAAACGUUAUUCGGAAUCACUGGGCUUGAAGAGUGCGUAGGCGGUUUCGUAAGUAGGGUGUGAAAGCCCCCAGCUCAACUGGGGAACUGCGUCCUAAACUACGUGGCUGGAGUGUGGCAGAGGAAGGUGGAAUUCCACGUGUAGCGGUGAAAUGCGUAGAGAUGUGGAGGAACACCAAUGGCGAAGGCAGCCUUCUGGGCCAACACUGACGCUCAUGCACGAAAGCGUGGGGAGCAAACAGG